AGCUUAAGUGACCUGACCUGGAUGAGUUCCAGAGUAUUGAAAGCACUUGCAAAUGAAAUUGUUGAACCUCUUUGAUCUUCUUAAGGAACUGUGAAGAUUGUGUUGGAGGAAUAUUAGGGGUGGCUUUGGGAAGACAUGAGGUGAGCAAAUAUGAUCCCAAUUUUCAAGAAGUCAAAAAGAAAAAAAACAGAAGGCGCUCUAAUCUGUAGUUCUGGCAACUUGGCCUUAAGCCCAGGUUUAUCUGCAAGGAGCCUAGCUGUUCAUAACCAAUCCUGUCCAUUAGGCUGUUUUUCUAAAACAGAAGAGCAGUUCUCUCCCUUCCAGUCAACUUUGUGGCUUACUAGAAUAAACAUCACAUUUCCUGGCUCCCUUGCACCUAGAUUUGGCCAUAUGACUACGUUCUGGCCAGAGGAAUAUAAACAGAUGUAUCUCAUGGUGGCUUCCAGGAAACUUUCAAGGAAAAUGACAGGACGUAUGAGCCCUUUACCCUCUUCUUUGUCCUAUCUUCCUUCUUGCUGGUUAGAUUAUGGACAUGGCUGGACAUGGAAUCAUCAUUGGGGACCAGGAGAAAACCAUCCCUUGGAAAUGGAGGCCAUGACUUCCAAAACAAGAUAGAAGGAGCCUGAAUCUCUGAGACCUUUAUGGAGCAGAGCCACAAAACUAGCCCUGGGCUGCUCACUUUUGGACUUCUACGUAUAAGAAACAAACUUCUUUUAAAAGCUGCUGUUUCCUCCCCACCCGACCCCCUUUCACAACUCACCACAAUCCUAACUGAUAUAUUCCUUUAGCUACAAUCCCACCACAAAUUGAAAAAUUCCUUUAGUGUUUGCUAGUUGAAAUUUCCAAGAGGAAGAUAGAUCUGUCUCGCCCCAUCUUUUAAUACCUGCAGCAGAGAUGGCUGGCUUCCACUAGAGAUUUUGUUUUCUUUCUUUUGUGUGGAAUUGUGGUUGGAAAGUAGCUUCACAGUCUGGGACUACAAUUUCUAGUCUUCCUUGCAUAUAGGUGAAACUGUGUGUGUCACUUAUGAACCAAAGCUCCCAAAGAGCCCUGUUUUCACUUCUCCGUCCUUUCUUUCCCUGUUAGCCAGUUGGAAGAGAUCUCUGAGGCCAUAGGGGAUGGUAGAGUAAUUAUAUGGAAGGAGACUGGGAUCCUGAGUUACCACGUAGAAAGCUGCCUG
rnacentral:lncRNA from 1 species